GUAGGGAGCAAACGUUGUCCGGAUUUAUUGGGCGUAAAGGGCUCGUAGGCGGUUCAACAAGUCGGUCGUGAAAACCCGGGGCUCAACCCCGGGACGCCGGUCGAAACUGUUGUGACUAGAGUUCGGUGGAGGUGAGUGGAAUUCUCGGUGUAGCGGUGGAAUGCGCAGAUAUCGGGAGGAACACCAUUAGCGAAGGCGGCUCACUGGGCCGAUACUGACGCUGAGGAGCGAAAGCGUGGGGAGCAAACAGGAUUAGAUACCCUGGGUAGUCCACGCCGAAAACGAUGAACACUAGGUGUGGCGGACUGAUUCAUGUCUGCUGCGCCGUAGCUAACGCAUUAAGUGUUCCGCCUGGGGAGUGCGGCCGCAAGGCUA
rnacentral:rRNA from 1 species